rnacentral:rRNA from 1 species
UGGGGAAUCUUGCGCAAUGGGCGAAAGCCUGACGCAGCGACGCCGCGUGGGUGAUGAAGGCCUUCGGGUCGUAAAGCCCUGUCAAGAGGGACGAAUCCUCGUCGACCUAAUACGUCGGCGACCUGACGGUACCUCUGAAGGAAGCACCGGCUAACUCCGUGCCAGCAGCCGCGGUAAUACGGAGGGUGCGAGCGUUGUUCGGAAUUACUGGGCGUAAAGCGCGUGUAGGCGGCCUCCUCAGUCUGGUGUGAAAGCCCGGGGCUCACCCCCGGAAGUGCAUUGGAUACUGGGAGGCUGGAGUACCGGAGAGGAGGGUGGAAUUCCUGGUGUAGCGGUGAAAUGCGUAGAUAUCAGGAGGAACACCGGUGGCGAAGGCGGCCCUCUGGACGGAUACUGACGCUGAGACGCGAAAGCGUGGGGAGCAAACAGG